GGAAUAUUGGACAAUGGGCGCAAGCCUGAUCCAGCCAUGCCGCGUGCAGGAUGAAGCAUCUAUGGUGUGUAAACUGCUUUUAUACGGGAAGAAACCCCGCCUCGUGAGGCGGACUGACGGUACCGUAAGAAUAAGGACCGGCUAACUCCGUGCCAGCAGCCGCGGUAAUACGGAGGGUCCAAGCGUUAUCCGGAAUCAUUGGGUUUAAAGGGUCCGUAGGCGGUCUAGUAAGUCAGUGGUGAAAGCCCAUCGCUCAACGGUGGAACGGCCAUUGAUACUGCUAGACUUGAAUUACUAGGAAGUAACUAGAAUAUGUAGUGUAGCGGUGAAAUGCUUAGAUAUUACAUGGAAUACCAAUUGCGAAGGCAGGUUACUACUAGUUGAUUGACGCUGAUGGACGAAAGCGUGGGUAGCGAACAGGAUUAGAUACCCUUG
rnacentral:rRNA from 1 species